rnacentral:piRNA from 1 species
UGAGUCAGGGUGGCCAAGAUGGUUGCCUGUC